UACGUAGGGUGCGAGCGUUAAUCGGAAUUACUGGGCGUAAAGUGUGCGCAGGCGGCAGAGCAAGUCGAGUGUGAAAGCCCCGGGCUUAACUUGGGAAUUGCGCUCGAAACUACUUUGCUGGAGUGUGGCAGAGGAAGGUGGAAUUCCACGUGUAGCGGUGAAAGUGACGCAGAUAUCAGGAGGAACACCGGUGGCGAAGGCGGGUCUCUGGGCCGAUACUGACGCUGAGGAGCGAAAGCGUGGGGAGCGAACAGG
rnacentral:rRNA from 1 species